UGGUGGAGUGAUUUGUCUGGUUAAUUCCGAUAACGAACGAGACCUUAACCUGCUAAAUAGACACACGAACCUCGGUUCGUGCUGUGCUUCUUAGAGGGACUGUGAGCGUUUAGCUCACGGAAGUUUGAGGCAAUAACA
rnacentral:rRNA from 1 species